ACCUUGGUGAAAAAAUGUGUACAUCAUACCUUCAGAUUAUAGUUUUAUUGUUGUUUUUUUUUUAAUUGUUUCUAGUAAUCCACAGAGACAAACCUGAAAAAGAAGAAAAAAUUGAGAGAAAGGAACCCCUAAAAGUGACGCAUAAAGACAAGCUGGAAAGACAAGAAAAACCUGAGAAGAAGGAAAAGCAUGCAGCUAUUCACAAAGAGAAACCUGAAAAGCCAGAAAAAUAUGAAAAGAAAGCACCUUCUAAAGGUAAUGCAGAUUAUUAUUAUUAGAUGCUAUACAAUUGUAGAUUUUCAGUGCUUACAUAGUUCUGGAGAGUGUGGAGAUG
rnacentral:lncRNA from 1 species